rnacentral:tRNA from 1 species
CCCUGGGUAGUGCAAAUGGUUAACACGCUUGGCUGUUAACCAAGAGGUUGCAGGUUCAAGUCCAUCCAGCGG